GUACUUUGGCAGCACAUAUACUGAAGUUGGAACAAUAUAGAGAAGAUUAGUGUGGCCCCUGCAUGAGGAUGACACAGAAAUAUCUAAAAUAAAUAAAAAAGAA
rfam:Otolemur garnettii contig072122, whole genome shotgun sequence.